GUCACUGUUCUUCACCAAAUCAGAGAACCACUCUCCCCAUUCUGUCACUCAUCACCCUCCCGCCGUCACCUUGCCCACUCACCGUCGCUCCUCUUUCCCACUCACCACUCACCCAUCAUGACUUCGCCAUCGAUCGCGAGAACCAUCGCUCCUCUUCGUCUUCCUGCUCUGACCGUCACUGUAAGCUCAGCAUCGGGAAUACUCGGCGCUCAGCAUCGCCUUCUCUUUGCUCAUCGUCGUCGAGAAGGGUUAUUCUCAAGAACAGGGAUAUUAUAAUGGCAUGUGUGUGCAACAGUGCUACUCUGUGAAUUUGCUUCAGCUUGCGUUUUGCUUACUCUGAAACAACUUGGAACUGG